AAACCAGCACCUCAAGUGGUCAGGAUGAUUAUUGGGCCUAAAGCAUCCGUAGCGGGCUCUGUAAGUUUUCGGUUAAAUCUGUACGCUCAACGUACAGGCUGCCGGAAAUACUGCAGAGCUAGGGAGUGGGAGAGGUAGACGGUACUCGGGAGGAAGGGGUAAAAUCCUUUGAUCUCUCGAUGACCACCUGUGGCGAAGGCGGUCUACCAGAACACGUCCGACGGUGAGGGAUGAAGGCUGGGGGAGCAAACCGGAUUAGAAACCCCGGUAGUCC
rnacentral:rRNA from 1 species